rnacentral:tRNA from 1 species
GCCGUGGUGGUGGAAUUGGUAGACACGCUGGAUUUAGGAUCCAGUGCCAUUAGGCGUCAGAGUUCGAGUCUCUGCCGCGGCA